UGACCUCAGACUCCAGCCCCCAGAACUAGCCAUAGUUUGUCUUCCACAACUGGAGGUUUGAAAAGAAGGAUGAGGACACUGAAUCUCAGAGACGUCAAGUUCUUUCAUCGAGAUUCCAUAGAAUGUUCCCUGUUUCUUCAUCUAUGACAUGGGGAUAAUGUGAGUAUACCUACAUCAGAGGGCUGCGAUGAAGACUAAAUAAGCUCCUGCCAUCAAAAGUUGGAGUCUGUUUCCCCACGCCUUGAAUCUGGGCUGGCUCUAUGAUCCACUUUGGACAACAGAAUUUGGUGGAAGUGAUGCUAUGCCAAUGCUGAGGUGAGGCCUCAAGAGGCCUUGUGGGCUGUGACUCUUUUGGAACGCUGCCUAGCUGUCACGUGAACAAGGCUACUGCAUGAUGAGAGACCAUAUGGAGCCAAAACAUGCCUUUCCAGCUGAGGCCCUCCUAGUCCAGCCAGCCCUAGAUGCACAAGCUGGUGACCAAAGAUACAUGAGUGAGUCCAGAUGAGAAGUCCCUCGUUGAGCCCAGCCCAAUUGCUGAUCCACUGACUUGUGAGAUUCCCCAGCACCAUUUACUGAAGAGAUUGCUCUUUCCUCACUGAAUGCUCUUGGCACGCUUGUUGAAGAUCACUUGACCCACAUGAGAGGAUUUAUUUCUGGCUCUUUAUUUUAUUCCAUUUGUCUAUGUGUCUUGUCUUUAUGUCAGUACAACACUGUUUUGAUUACUGUAGCUUUGUAAUAUGUUUUGAAAUCAGACCUCCAACUUUGUUUUUCUGUUAUAAGGUUGUUUUGACUGUUCAGGGUCCCUUGAGAUUCCCUAUGAAUUUUAAGAUGAGUUUUUUCAUUUCUGCCAAAAAAAUGCCAUUAGGAUUUUGAUAGCGAUUUCAUUGAAUCUGUAGAUUGCUUUGAGUAGUA
rnacentral:lncRNA from 1 species